GUUAACAUAUCCUAUUGCAGAAAUCAAGCAUACAGAAAAGAAAAGAAAGAUCUGUGUAAAUCCCAUAGGAUGUUAAAUAGAAUAAACUAUAUCAUGGGCUGCUAGUGAAUUGGCUGCUGGAUUCUCAGACCAGCGAGUGUUGAUACAACAUCUCAGCAACACUAGCUUUGAACCAGCGUUGGUGUACACGACUGUUUAUGAAAACUAAGCUAAGGUGAUUUGUCAGAACAAAAACCAGCACAUACUCUGGUCCUCUGGGGAAAGAGGUGGGCAAACCCCUGGUGCACUGGAUACAAACCGUCCUCAGAACUGCUUGUUGUUUGAAGGUGUAAGCAUCCAGCUAGACCUGUCCCACCAUUUCACCAAGAGGUCCCUGCAGCACAAUGCAGACUAAGUGAGAUUCAGCCAUGGCUACAAACUGUCCCUUUUGUAUGGAUAACAAUGUGCAUUAUAGUCUGUUAUUAUUAAUAGCUGUGUCAUAUCUGUAUUUAUUCUUCAGAGAACAUUUCCUUUUUAUUUCCUUUUUUCUUUUGUAAAGGUGUGUAUUUGUGAAUGUCUGCAUUUUGUCUAGCUGUGAAAGAGGGUGGUGUGAUUAUGCAAGUGUGCAAUUAAAUAACACAGCCUUCAGUUCUCCUCCACACACUGUGCCAAACUGAUAUGAGAAAAUGCAUAAACCCCAGGGUUUCGAAAGAUUAAUAACCCUGAGACUGGCCUUUCACAGCACUCUGCAUAUACAGUACAAAUGCUGCAGAAUUCACCAUCAGCAUACGGGACCAAGAAGGGAAACCAUUUUUUAAAAUAUAAAUUUUAUACAUAUAAACAAAUAUAUAUAUUUUUUACUGAAUAAAGUUGUUUAUGCAUUCAUGUAUUCCUUCAUUUAUUUAUAAAUGAAUUUAUGUAUUGCUGAGUGUGAUGUUCUGCCUCAAACUUUGUGAAAUGUUUUGUGACUCUGACUUUUGCAUGCACUCUGCAUUGUUACAUUUAUUUGUAAGUCAAAGUUAAGUAUAAGCAUUGACUGAAUCCAGGCCAUUGUGCCCUUUCUAGAGUAAUCUGGAAAAACUUGGAUAACUGCACAGUAGACAAAAGGAGAUCUGACUCAGGCAUUAUCCUGGAUUCAAUCAACGUUUGUCCUCAACUUUUAAUAACAAACAAAUGCAAGUGUGUUUCUUUUUUGCACAUAGUUUGGAAAGUUAAU